UCGUGCUAGAUGGGGAGAUAGCGGUGCCCUGUAACUCGCAAUCCGCUACAGCGAGGUCGAAGUCCCGGUCGAGGCGCACCGAUAUAGGGUCUGCCUCCGGGGUCUGGCGUCGAUGGCCGGGCCUCACGCAGCGUCGCUCUGUGAACCCCGUCAGGCCCGGAAGGGAGCAGCGGUAAGCGGAAUACGGCGGGUGCCGUGAGAUCACCUGGCCGGAGCUGGAGUCCGGAUGUCCCGCCUGGGUCGGUCGUGUCGGAGCCGGGUGCACGG
rnacentral:SRP_RNA from 1 species